UCAACUGCCGUAUGUAUCAACAGGGAUUGCCCUAGUAACGGCGAGUGAAGCGGCAAAAGCUCAAAUUUGAAAUCUGGCAUCUUUGGUGUCCGAAUUGUAAUUUGGAGAGGCAACUUCAGGUAGGACCCAGUCUAUGUUCCUUGGAACAGGACGUCAUAGAGGGUGAGAAUCCCGUUCUUGACUGGAUGUUCUUGCUAGUAUGUAGUGCCUUCUACGAGUCGAGUUGUUUGGGAAUGCAGCUCAAAAUGGGUGGUAAAUUUCAUCUAAAGCUAAAUAUUGGCGAGAGACCGAUAGCGCACAAGUAGAGUGAUCGAAAGAUGAAAAGCACUUUGAAAAUAGAGUCAAAAAGUACGUGAAAUUGUUGAAAGGGAAGCGCUUGAGACCAGACUCAGCCUUUGGCAAACAAGUGUCCUUCUGGGCAGUGCACUUGCCUCAGGUUGGGCCAGUAUCAGUUAGGAUGGUAGGAGAAAGGCUAGGAGAAUGUGACUCCGAUCUGGAGUGUUAUAGACCCUGGCGUCAUGCUACCUGUCCUGACUGUGGACCGCGCGUUAGCUAGGAUACUGGCGUAAUGGUCUUCAGCGGCCCGUCUUGAAACACGGACCAAGGAGUCUAACAUCUAUGCAAGUGUUUGGGCUACACACCCUCACGCGUAAUGAAAGUAAGCGGAGGUGGGAAUUCCGUAAGGAAUGCACCAUCGACCGAUCCUGAUGUCUUCGGAUGGAUUUGAGUAGGAGCAUAGCUGUUGGGACCCGAAAGAUGGUGAACUAUGCCUGAAUAGGGUGAAGCCAGAGGAAACUCUGGUGGAGGCUCGCAGCGGUUCUGACGUGCAAAUCGAUCGUCAAAUUUGGGUAUAGGGGCGAAAGACUAAUCGAACCAUCUAGUAGCUGGUUCCUGCCGAAGUUUCCCUCAGAUAGCAGUAACGAUCUCAGUUUUAUGAGGUAAAGCGAAUGAUUAGAGGCCUUGGGGUUGUAACAACCUUAACCUAUUCUCAACUUUAAUAUGUAGAGUCUGUACUAUGACGUGACAUUGAUGUACCGUUACUAGUGGGCCAUUUUUGGUAGCAGAACUG
rnacentral:rRNA from 1 species